GUGGUGCAGGAGCAUGCGCCGGGAAAGGGUAAACUUAGGCGCAGGUUCUAACCCCUCGUGAUCCCCCACUACCCGGCCGCUUUCACGACGAUCACACGACCCGACGUUUUUCCACCCUUAUCUUCGCUCGCUUCACCGUCUCAAAAACCUGUAUAGGCACUUUCAUAGCUUGCGCCGCGAAGAUGUCAACGGGGAUGUCGCUUUUUUCUCUCUCUCCCCCUCCCCUUUCUCUCUCUCUCUCUCUCUCCAUCUCUUUGUCAAGAGUGGGGGAUGAUGCUCGCGAUCGUCGAUACGGGCCUGUGUUUCGACCACGGGAACGGAAACUUUUGCAUCCUGCUCUUUUACUGCCGAUGCCCAACGAUCUCCCAAGACUGUUUGACGAGGAAUUUUUCCUUUUGGUUGCCAAACAGCGGAAUCCAAGACACAUCAGCCCCAUUGGAGCAUGCUCUUCGGGACUCGCGGAGUCUCGGCUGUGGCCGUGCUCGAGGAACCGAGUUUUACGCGGUGUGCGAGCUUCCACGGGCGAAGGGAGGACGAUGGAAAGGGCGAACGAGCGGAGGCUGAGGCAACGGGACGCGGAAGAGGGCGGCGCGGCGUGGCAACCGGCGGGCAAACAACAAGAGGUUUUCGUAGCCGGCUAACGGCAGAGUUUCCUCAUAAACUCUUAGGGAAGUUCGCAGACAAACACAGAAAUAUUUUGUAAUGGAAACACGUCCCUGAGAAAUUAAAUAUCGCAAUGAAGAAGAUGAAGUUGCGUUUGUAGCCGAGUGCUACGAGGAGACGACUGCUGGCGAAUCCAGAAGCGUAUUACGUGCGACGAACAGUCAUUAAUUGCUACCGUUUUCGAACGUCGUAAAUGUCAGUCACCUGAUCUUAUUCUCCUUCGAUCUGUUGGGUUGGCAAUUAAAUGAUUGCGGACUUUGUCAUUAGGUGGUAUUGACAAAAUCCGCAAUCACUUACUUGCCAACCCAAUAGAUAGAAAAUCAUCGCGUUGCUCAUUCGUCCAAAGUAUGGAGGAUCUGUCUUAUUCAUAUGCAACUCCAUUUCACUGUGUAAAUCUUUGAUAUUAUGAGAAAUUGAAUUUGCAUUAUUUGCUUCAAAUUCAAGGAAGUGAUCGUUAAAGAAAGAUACGUUCCAAAUUUGCUGCGAAUUAUAAGAAAAAUUGCUAAAUUCGCAAAACUUAAAUCUCUUGCGUCUGUCAAAUCAUUUUUUUUAUCUAAUCGUUCCUCCUUAUUAUUAAAAAACUUUUUAAGUUUCGGGUGAUUUCUUGUUUGAAUUUGCAAAAUUUGGAUAUAAAAAUUUAAGGACCUUGAUGGAACCGGAAGUCUAGCAAAUACAAGACAAAGUAGAUCCGCUGUCAAGAUCGAAUAUUGCAAACAGAACGUCACGCGAAAUAAUAUUAACUCACACGUAAUACGUAUUAACAAUGAUGAUUGCCCGAAAUUCCUGAAGCAUCUGGUCACGCGUUCGAGGAACAUUCGCGCUAUUAAUCGUGCCAAGUUGCCAGUGCAUCCCACGAACAUUAUAUGUCGGUACGUUCGACGGAUUAUUUAUGUUAUUUAUUUGCGGACAGUUCUCUAUUUAAUCGUACUACAGUUUUCGAUAAUCUCAGUUGGCUCUGAUCCCUGGAUCUCCAAAACAACUUAGUUACAAGUUGCAACUGGCCGAUUGCGAAAGCAAUCAUGCGAAUUAAAGAGAUCGAUCGCUGAAGUUUCGUUUGGUGGAAAUACUUUGAAAAUUACAGAGAAAGAACACGAUAAGUGAUAUUUCACAUUUUUCCCAACAUAGUUUUAUAAUUUGAUAAGUUGUUGCUUAAUUUGACAUACGUUAUCAAGAUUGUCGUUUUAUUUGGUUUUAUGACUGCACGCCUAUUUAUCCACAUUUUUCACGACGUAAAAAAUAUUGCUUGUCGUAAUACUAAAAUAUUGAAGAAAUUAAAAUAUUAUUUCUCUUAACAAUCACGAAAGUAUUUGAGAAGUCGCGAAAUAACUUGAAAGCUUAGCAUAGAAAACUUUAAUGUCCAUAUGGUGGAUAUUAUCUGAAACAUUUUGAAAUUUCGUUAACACUGUAAUAAGAUAAGAUUGUCACGAUUAUAUUGGUAAAAUUUGAAACCGAUUUGAAUGCCUAUAAAUGAUAUGUGUUGCAAACGUAUAUGUAAUGAAAAAUUAUUAUACAGUAUAAACAGUCAUCCCACCAUAUCAUAAAUGUCGCGAAUAUGAUUUUACUGAAUACUCAGGUUUAUUAAUGUAAUGGAUAAUCCACUAUUCGAAUACGUUUGUGAUAGUUGCGAACUUUAUCAAUGUUAAUCGCGAUAGUGGAGCCUCAGAAAAGUGCUAAUGAAAUCUCAAAAUGCUUCGUAUAACACACAUAACAUAUUCAUGAAACGUGUCCAGAAGUGUUCAAAUACUUUCAUGAGUACUUGCAUUUCAACUAUUUUGUACCAAAAUAUUCCCCUUUUGUUAUAAAAUGACAGUAAAAUAAAAAUAUCAACAAAAAUCGUGUACCUUUUACUUGUGUUUUUUUUCUUUCUUUUUGGGAAUUUUACGAAGACCAGCGGCCGAUCGCCGCAACAUUGGGGCGGAAUUAGAAGCGAAAAGCUGGUCGUUGAACGGCAGAGGAAAUCGAACGAGCGGAACGUUUGAUAAGCGCGCAAAUUGGCCGGGACAGAUGACGGAUUUCGAUAGUUAGAAACGGCUGCUCGUUAAAACUAAUGGCAGCAGCGGAUUUAGAACUUGGCAGUGUUAAUCAUCAAUUAUAUCGACCUUAUUGCGGCUAGCCCACAGCAUGUGACGUGCGUGACAAUCGUUGGAACGAAACGGCCGCCACGUGUUUUCGCAUCACGCUUUGAAUCGAUCGCGAUUCGCUCAAAAUAAUUGUCGCGCCCCUGUCUCGCUUUAAUUAAUCAUUAACCUACCUCGAGCCCGGAGAAUCCUUCCUUCCGAUUUAAUUAGUUAUUCGUUAAUUUCGUCUACGACGAAUUUGUUACAAUUCCCCUGUAAAUGUAUUAUUCUCCGGUUCACUCGAUUGUCUUAUUUUUACACGUUCUGCAGUCCCAUUUUCAUCCCCUCUUGAGCGUCUGCAACGGAAGAACCGAAUUGUUCGUCGUCCGUUUUAUUAGAAAUUCGAUUGCGUUUAUAGUUAGCAGCUUGAAUAGAUGGCGGAAUAAAAUAUUGAAAUUUUAAUUGCACCGACUGAACAAUAAUGGAAGUUUAGUAUUAUUUUAUUAAUUAGAACAAAAGCUAUCGGAAGAAUAUAGAACUCGUUUAUUUUUAUAUAUAUAUUUCAACUGUAAUUUGCAUCACAAAACUUUGAAAACAAGGGAAUACAUAUUUUUUGAGGAACGAUAAAGAAUGUAUAAAAUGUAAAGAUAUUACAAUUUAUCAAUAAAGAUCAAAAGUACGUUCCUUCUAAAGAAGAAAAUAUCAAACGCGUAUCUACUAAUUAAUAGCAAAGGUUAAGGACAUUGGAACUUAUGGAACUUCUGGUUCCUCGAUUGUCACCAGAUUUUUCGUCGGUCUAAUUAUUGUCCCUGGGGCAACUACAACCCUCGAUAUGCCAGCUAUAGUCGAACUACAGCAAUCAACGAGAUCGCAAUUUCUCCCGGUUCUCUUCAAGAGAACCUCGAGGACUUAGCAAGUAGUUAGUCCUCCGACUUUGUCCGCCCAACCCCCAAAGAAACGUACUACGCAUUCUGAACCUUAUCCAGCAAACAUCUAGUUGAAUCGCGUGUCCUUUUUCUCGAAACAUGAAGUGAUACGAAAUCAUUACAAAGAUUGCGAUGUCAAAGCACCUUAGAUUCAAAUUAUUUCAAUUAGACUUUUUAUUGGUUAGUCAUUUUUAGAAUCGUCGAUUGCAUACUUCUGUCUUUGCACUUUGAUUAAGAUUUCUUUCGAACAUUUUAAUUUCCUUCAAUUUAAUUAUUGUCGAUUGUUUACAUAUAUUGAGUAUUAUAAUUAUAUAAUUCCUAAUUUUAUAAAUAUAU